CAUUACUCAUCGGGGAGCCAUAAAUAUCGAUAACGAUAUCGGCUGAGAUCAAGAGACUCUUGGGACCCGUAAACCUGAUCCAGAUAAUGCUGGCGUAGGAAUUGAGUUUGGUCUCUCU
rfam:Vibrio caribbeanicus ATCC BAA-2122 VIBC2010_17, whole genome shotgun sequence.